UUUUUGCGGCUGUCUGACCAGGCAGUGCCGCGACGCUACCAUCUGCCGGAUAAUGGCUGAACGCCUCUAAGCCAGAAUCCGUGCCGGAACGCGGUGAUACCGCCCCGCACGUCGUAGUUGGAUACGAAUAGGCCUUCGGGCCAUGCACCUCAGCAGGCUGGCGACGGCUCCCGGGGAGAAACCCUCGGGAGCUGGCUAGCGGAUUGUAAUGUCACCUCGCGCGGGGAUAGAUCCUCUGCAGACGACUGAAGU
rnacentral:rRNA from 1 species